GACGAACGCUGGCGGCGUGCUUAGCACAUGCAAGUCGAGCGGUAAGGCCCUUUCGGGGGUACACGAGCGGCGAACGGGUGAGUAACACGUGGGUGACCUGCCCUCAGCUCUGGGAUAAGCCUGGGAAACCGGGUCUAAUACCGGAUAUGACUCCAUGACGCAUGUUGUGGGGUGGAAAGCCUUGUGCGGCUGAGGAUGGGCCCGCGGCCUAUCAGCUUGUUGGUGGGGUGANGGCCUACCAAGGCGACGACGGGUAGCCGGCCUGAGAGGGCGACCGGCCACACUGGGACUGAGACACGGCCCAGACUCCUACGGGAGGCAGCAGUGGGGAAUCUUGCGCAAUGGGCGAAAGCCUGACGCAGCGACGCCGCGUGAGGGAUGACGGCCUCGGUUGUAA
rnacentral:rRNA from 1 species